CAGGACGAACGCUGGCGGCGUGCCUAACACAUGCAAGUCGAACGGAGUUAAACGCUGAAAUUGAGAUUAGCUUGCUAAAGGAUUUUUCUUGUUUAACUUAGUGGCGGACGGGUGAGUAACGCGUGAGUAACCUGCCUUUCAGUGGGGACAACAGUUGGAAACGACUGCUAAUACCGCAUAAUGUUAUUAGGGGGCAUCCCCUGAUAACCAAAGAUUUAUUGCUGAAAGAUGGUCUCGCGUCUGAUUAGCUAGUUGGUGAGGUAACGGCUCACCAAGGCGACGAUCAGUAGCCGGUCUGAGAGGAUGAACGGCCACAUUGGGACUGAGAUACGGCCCAGACUCCUACGGGAGGCAGCAGUGGGGAAUAUUGGGCAAUGGGGGAAACCCUGACCCAGCAACGCCGCGUGAAGGAAGAAGGCCUUCGGGUUGUAAACUUCUUUUAUUGGGGACGAUAGUGACGGUACCUUAAUGAAUAAGCCACGGCUAACUACGUG
rnacentral:rRNA from 1 species